rnacentral:lncRNA from 1 species
GGGAAAAUGGGGGAUUUUCGAAGCGAAAACAAGUAAUUUUCGAGUUAAAUGGGGGAUUUUAAAAAAGAAAACGAGUGAUUUUUGGGAUAAAUGAAGGAUUCUCGAAGAGAAAAUGGGUGAUUUUUGUGUAAAUGGCGGAUUUUCGAAGAGAAAAUGGGUGAUUUUUGGGUUAAAUGGGGGAUUUUCAAAGAGAAAAUGGAAGAUUUUGGCUUAAAUCAGGGAUUUUUGAAGAGAAAAUGGGUGAUUUCUGCAUAAAUGAGGGAUUUUUGAAAAGAAAACGGGUGAUUUUCGGGUUAAAUGGGGGAUUUUCAAAGAGAAACAGCAUGAUUUUUGGGUUAAAUGGGGAAUUUUCGAAAAGAAAACAGGUGAUUUUCAGGUUAAAUGGGGGAUUUUCAAAGAGAAAAUGGGUGAUUUUCGCUUAAAUCGGGGAUUUUUGAAGAGAAAAUGGGUGAUUUCUGCAUAAAUGAGGGAUUUUUAAAAAGAAAACGGGUGAUUAUUGUGCUAAAUGGAAGAUUUUCAAAGAAAAAUGGAUUAUUUUCGCUAAAAUGAAGGAUUUUCAAAGAGUAAAUGAAUGAUUUUUGCUUAAAUUGGGGAUUUUCAAUGAGAAAAUGGGUGAUUUUCACUAAAAUGAGGGAUUAUCAAAGAGAAAAUAAGUGAUUUUUGCGUAAAUGAGGGAUUUUCGAAGAGAAAAUGGGUGAUUUUUGUGGAAAAUGGGGGAUUUUCAAAGAGAAAAUGGGUGAU